AUCAUUAUGGUAAUUACAUUGGUUCUCUGUCCUUGAAAGUGUGGCAAGUAAUGGGCUAAUCGGAUUAGGUCAUUAGGUACAGACCAAUCAGAAACAAAUGCUCAUGUUUUGAAGUAUGUAUCAGUUGCUGUAAAGCUGUCUUCAUACACAGUUUACAUACUAAAGAAUUUCAGCAUUAUCAAAUAAAUGGUUUUCAAUCCAUUGACAGGAAGCCAUGUUUGUUGCAAUAUAUUGUUUGUGGUAGACACUGGGAAAAAACCGACUAUUGAAUGUGUAUUUAUUUGUCUCUUGGUACAAAACUGACGGAAGAGCAGCCAUGAUGAAGCAGUAAAGGUGCUUGGAUACCUUGCUUCAAUACUUCUGGUCGGACAAGAAAAGACUUGGCUAAGGAGUAGAGCUUCAAAUAAUUUAUCACCAAGAAAGUUACUGAUUUAAACCGAAUCCUGUAACGCGAAAGAUUCUUAAUUAAGCUAAGUGUGCAAUAGUAGCUGUUGUUAUAUUACAAAAACCCUGAUUUAAACAUGCCUGUAUAGUACAAUGCAUAAUAUUUUAUAUUUUGCAAGUUUCAAUUAAAGAAAAAUGGUCAAGUA
rnacentral:lncRNA from 1 species